UGUACCCGAAUAAGAAGGUCCGGCUAACUUCGUGCCAGCAGCCGCGGUAAUACGAAGGGACCUAGCGUAGUUCGGAAUUACUGGGCUUAAAGAGCACGUAGGUGGUUAAAAAAGUUGGUGGUGAAAUCCCAGAGCUUAACUCUGGAACUGCCAUCAAAACUUUUUAGCUAGAGUGUGAUAGAGGAAAGUAGAAUUUCUAGUGUAGAGGUGAAAUUCGUAGAUAUUAGAAAGAAUACCAAUUGCGAAGGCAGCUUUCUGGAUCAUUACUGACACUGAGGUGCGAAAGCAUGGGUAGCGAAGAGGAUUAGAUACCCUCGUAGUCCAUGCCGUAAACGAUGUGUGCUAGACGU
rnacentral:rRNA from 1 species